rnacentral:rRNA from 1 species
UACGGAGGGGGCUAGCGUUGUUCGGAAUUACUGGGCGUAAAGAGCUCGUAGGCGGCUUAGUAAGUCGGGUGUGAAACCUCCAGGCUCAACCUGGAGACGCCACCCGAUACUGCUGUGGCUAGAGUCCGGUAGGGGAGCGUGGAAUUCCUGGUGUAGCGGUGAAAUGCGCAGAUAUCAGGAGGAACACCAGCGGCGAAGGCGGCGCUCUGGGCCGGUACUGACGCUGAGGAGCGAAAGCGUGGGGAGCAAACAGG